rnacentral:rRNA from 1 species
CCUACGGGAGGCAGCAGUGGGGAAUUUUGGACAAUGGACGAAAGUCUGAUCCAGCAAUGCCGCGUGCAGGACGAAGGCCUUCGGGUUGUAAACUGCUUUUGUACGGAACGAAAAGGUCUGCCUUAAUACGGUGGGCUCAUGACGGUACCGUAAGAAUAAGCACCGGCUAACUACGUGCCAGCAGCCGCGGUAAUACGUAGGGUGCAAGCGUUAAUCGGAAUUACUGGGCGUAAAGCGUGCGCAGGCGGUUAUAUAAGUCAGAUGUGAAAUCCCCGGGCUCAACCUGGGACCUGCAUUUGAGACUGUAUAGCUAGAGUACGGUAGAGGGGGAUGGAAUUCCGCGUGUAGCAGUGAAAUGCGUAGAUAUGCGGAGGAACACCGAUGGCGAAGGCAAUCCCCUGGACCUGUACUGACGCUCAUGCACGAAAGCGUGGGGAGCAAACAGGAUUAGAUACCCUGGUAGUCCACGCCCUAAACGAUGUCAACUGGUUGUUGGGUCUUCACUGACUCAGUAACGAAGCUAACGCGUGAAGUUGACCGCCUGGGGAGUCGCGCAGUGAACUCAAGAAGUGAGCGNGNGAGAGCGACGACGACGACGAGGAGGAGG